rnacentral:rRNA from 1 species
UCAGAGAUGAGACUGUGCCUUGGGAACUGUGAGACAGGUGCUGCAUGGCUGUCGUCAGCUCGUGUUGUGAAAUGUUGGGUUAAGUCCCGCAACGAGCGCAACCCUUAUCCUUUGUUGCCAGCGAUUCGGUCGGGAACUCAAAGGAGACUGCCAGUGAUAAACUGGAGGAAGGUGGGGAUGACGUCAAGUCAUCAUGGCCCUUACGAGUAGGGCUACACACGUGCUACAAUGGCAUAUACAAAGAGAAGCGACCUCGCGAGAGCAAGCGGACCUCAUAAAGUAUGUCGUAGUCCGGAUUGGAGUCUGCAACUCGACUCCAUGAAGUCGGAAUCGCUAGUAAUCGUAGAUCAGAAUGCUACGGUGAAUACGUUCCCGGGCCUUGUACACACCGCCCGUCACACCAUGGGAGUGGGUUGCAAAAGAAGUAGGUAGCUUAACCUUCGGGAGGGCGCUUACCACUUUGUGAUUCAUGACUGGGGUGAAGUCGUAACAAGGUAGGCGUAGUGCU